AUUGAACGCUGGCGGCAGGCCUAACACAUGCGAGUCGAGCGGAUGAAGGGAGCUUGCUCCUGGAUUCAGCGGCGGACGGGUGAGUAAUGCCUAGGAAUCUGCCUGGUAGUGGGGGAUAACGUCCGGAAACGGGCGCUAAUACCGCAUACGUCCUGAGGGAGAAAGUGGGGGAUCUUCGGACCUCACGCUAUCAGAUGAGCCUAGGCCGGAUUAGCUAGUUGGUGGGGUAAAGGCCUACCAAGGCGACGAUCCGUAACUGGUCUGAGAGGAUGAUCAGUCACACUGGAACUGAGACACGGUCCAGACUCCUACGGGAGGCAGCAGUGGGGAAUAUUGGACAAUGGGCGAAAGCCUGAUCCAGCCAUGCCGCGUGUGUGAAGAAGGUCUUCGGAUUGUAAAGCACUUUAAGUUGGGAGGAAGGGCAGUAAGUUAAUACCUUGCUGUUUUGACGUUACCAACAGAAUAAGCACCGGCUAACUUCGUG
rnacentral:rRNA from 1 species